rnacentral:rRNA from 1 species
AUUGAACGCUGGCGGCAGGCCUAACACAUGCAAGUCGAGCGAGCGGCGGACGGGUGAGUAAUGUAUGGGGACUGCCCGAUAGAGGGGGAUCACUUCUGGAAACGGUGGCUAAUCCCGCAUACUAUCGGAUAACCCAUAUGGGAUUGGCUAGUAGGGGGGGUAAAGGCUCCCCUGGGCGACGAUCUCUCGCUGGUCUGAGAGUAUGAACAGCAAACCUGGAACUGAGAAACGGCCCAGACUCCUACGGAGGCAGCAGUGGGGAAUAUUGCACAAUGGGCGCAAGCCUGAUGCAGCCAUGCCGCGUGUAUGAAGAAGGCCUUAGGGUUGUAAAGUACUUUCAGCGGGGAGGCGUUACCCGCAGAAGAAGCACCGGCUAACUCCGUGCCAGCAGCCGCGGUAAUAC